GACGUAGGGCGCGAGCGUUGUCCGGAUUUAUUGGGCGUAAAGGGCGCGUAGGCGGGCUGCCGCGUCCGGGGUGAAAUCCCACGGCUCAACCGUGGAACGGCCUCGGAUACGGGCGGCCUCGAGGGGGGUAGGGGCAUCUGGAACUGUGAGUGGAGCGGUGAAAUGCGUUGAUAUUCACAGGAACUCCGGUGGCGAAGGCGAGGUGCUGGACCCCUUCUGACGCUGAGGCGCGAAAGCCAGGGGAGCGAACGGG
rnacentral:rRNA from 1 species